CCACGCUGUAAACGAUGGAUGCUAGGUGUCGGGAAUUUUUUUCGGCGCCACAGUUAACGCGUUAAGCAUCCCGCCUGGGGAGUACGGUCGCAAGGCUGAAACUCAAAGAAAUUGACGGGGGCCCGCACAAGCGGUGGAGUAUGUGGUUUAAUUCGAUGCAACGCGAAGAACCUUACCCAGACUUGACAUCCCGCGAACUGUGUAGAGAUACACGGGUGCCCCUCGGGGAAUGUGGAGACAGGUGCUGCAUGGCUGU
rnacentral:rRNA from 1 species